GACGAACCGUGCGAACGUUAUUCGGAAUCACUGGGCUUAAAGCGCGUGUAGGCGGGACGGCACGUCGGUCGCUGAAAGCCCCCGGCUCAACCGGGGAACGGGCGCCGAUACGACCGCCCUGGAGGGACGUAGGGGACCUGGAACUUCCGGUGGAGCGGUGAAAUGCGUUGAGAUCGGAAGGAACGCCCGUGGCGAAAGCGAGGUCCUGGACGUCUGCUGACGCUGAGACGCGAAAGCCAGGGGAGCGAACGGG
rnacentral:rRNA from 1 species